rnacentral:lncRNA from 1 species
UAACAACAUAUAUCUGACGAGGUCAAUCUUAUUGUUUUCAUUUUGAAGGAACGGAUCGAAUGUCCGAGGAUAUUUUUCAUGGUCCUUCUUAGAUCUCUUCGAACUGAUUGAAGGCAAAGAAGCAAGCUAUGGUCUGUAUUAUGUAGAUUUUAAUGACCCAGAUUUGAAGAGACAGCCUAAGCUCUCUGCACAUUGGUACUCUGAUUUUCUUAAGGGAGGAAACAUAAGUUCUGAUGGAAUUAAGAUGUUGGAGAGAAGUAGUACUUCUAGUUUCUCUCAAACCUCCUAUUAUGCUCAGUAGAACACGUACUUCUUUUAUCCAUUUAUGUACAACAUUUUCCACUCUAUUAUUACAAACUAUUAUGUUGAUCCUACAAAACUUGUCUUUCUAUCAACAUUUGGUUCCCCACAAGGAUUGCAUCGAAUAAUGUUCAAUAGUCUUGUUACAUUUUUCUCAUUAAAGUUUAUUCGAGUAACGAGCCUUACCCCUACAAGAAACAAUAGAUUAAUUCCUAGACUUCCUAAACUUCCCAAUUUCAAGUUUAUCUGUAACAUAACAUCCUAUAGCUAUGUUAACUCUGGAGGACCAUCAUUACUUCAAUGGAACAUACACAAAUGACAAAUGGACAUUGCAUUUUCAUACCAAAUACAUAUAGAGAUGGUUUUGCUAAAAAUUGAAUGACAUACAGACAUACAGUACUAAAAUGCCAAUAAUUUCAAUAAAUAUUGACAGACAUAUAUGGGUCCAAAAUAUGGAUAUGGCCUACCCAAUUGCCCUUUGCCCAAGCCAAAAAAGUUCCAAUGGCAAAUGCAUAGACAAUGAUAGUAUGAUACAGUAUAUGAUUCCCUUUCCACCUUUUAAAUCUGUCAAAAAAUAAUUGAGAAUGACAAUGCAUGAAUGAGACGUGAACAAAAUGUACAGUUUAGUGAAUAAUUUUUUUUUAUUACAAAUGGAAAUUUUUGUGUUAUAAACUAGAUCUCACCACUCAAAAUACAAGAAGAUAUGUUUUUGAGGAUUCCUUCCCUUUCUUCUUCUAUUUGUUUACAAUUUUUUCAUCAUGUUGCACUACUAGUAAUAGUAGUGGUGGUGGUUAGUGUUAUUAGUCAUGUUCAUUCAUCAGAGAAUACCCUCACCUUUAGCAGACAAGAUUUCCCACCAAACUUUGUUUUUGGCUCUGGAACCUCAGCUUAUCAGGUCAGUAGUUACAGUUAAGAGUCACUGGAUCUUUUCUUUUCUUUUCUGUACUACUGUCAUGACUCAUGACUAUAUAUGUUCUAUAUGUUUGUUUUGGCUUAAAGUCUUAGAACUCUAGUUGAUUAUAUAUUGAUAAAAUGUGUGUGUGCUAGGUUGAAGGUGCAGCAGCAGAAGAUGGAAGGACACCCAGUGUUUGGGAUACCUUUGCUCACUCUGGUUUGUUUUUCUUCUACUGUACUUGUUUCCAAUUUCUUCUUCUGCUAUAUAAUACUGCAAAAACUAUACCAAAAACUGGAAAUCUUGAUGGAAUCUAUCAAGAAAUACAUGUUAAUGUGUCCAUUAAUUGAUGGGCAUCAAGAACAAAUGUAUGUCUAUCUCCACUUAAUCACUUGAUGGUUCAUAUCCUCUGCCCUUAGAUACCAUCUUCUAAUCCUCAAUCCCCAAUUAGGGAUUUUCUUUGUUGCGUUAUAAUGGGAAUGUUUAAUUUAGGUCACAAUACAUUAUGUCUGCAAGCAUUAGGGGAAUAAGUUGUUUACAGACCUUUAAUUUUUACUUAGUGUUGUUUUUUCUUCUCCAUUUAUAUAAUUGAUUUACACAAAAAAAUACUGUAAUAAAAGUAUAUUAUGUUGGUUCUUAGUUUGAAUUCUCUUAAAGGCGCAACUUUGGCUGCCAACUUACAAAUUAAUGGAAAUUUAUUGCACUCAAAGAACUGAACAAACCUUCUGAAAGAAGGUGAUUUUCAGUUUAUACUUUAUACAAUCCAUUUGGUGUCUCACUUUUCAAAAUUUUGCAUUACAGGCCGUUUGAGGGACAAAAGCAAUGGGGAUGUGGCAUGUGACCAAUAUCACAAAUAUAAGGUGCUAUGAAUUUUGAAUCACAGACAUAAUGUAAUGGGUCGUGGUUUGCUCUUUCUACUCAUAAUCAGCUGUUAAUUACUGUGAAACAUAUUCCCCAAACUAUUUCUAUAACAGGGCUGGAUGAUCAAUGUGCUAAUGGAUUGAAGUUCUGUGAUUGUUUAAGUUUCUUAGUGAAAUCUCUUGCAGGAAGAUGUUCAACUCAUGGUAGAUACAGGGCUGGAAGCCUACAGAUUCUCUAUUUCAUGGUCAAGGAUUAUCCCAAGUAUGAAUAACGGAAUUACAACACAAUUUGCUGAAUGUUUUCUUCUUAAAAAGGAAUGUUAGAAAUGUUUUGAAAGAUGAUAUAUAUGAUACUCUUUUUUUCUAUUUAUUUAGAUGGGAAAGGACCUGUCAACCCAAAGGGCUUACAAUAUUACAACAAUCUUAUUGAUGAACUCAUCAAACAUGGUAAUACCCGACUUUGUUAAGAGAUCUUUAAUUUUUUCCUUAUAAACGAAUAACAUCGACCAUAGGAGCUACAAUAAUCUUUAAAGCAGAUCAAUCAUAACAUGUGGAACAGGAUAGUCUUUAUUUAAUGAACCGAAAGUUUAAAUUAGGGCUGUUCAAAAGCAAGGUAGUUAGUUUGGACUCAACAAAUUUUUAUUCUUCUGACUAGUCAGAUUGCUUGGAAAUGUCAAGUUCUAUGUGUAAGUGGUCACCUAGUGGGAUUCAACAACCAAUUCAUUGGAUUUGUAUUGCUACUAGGGUGGUUGAUUCAACUAAAAAGAUGAUUUACAACAUAUUCCUUGAAAAAGUUAGUUACAGGUUCUCACUUUUUGCGUUUGAAUAGGAAUUCAGCCCUGUGUUACGUUGUGCCAUUUUGAUCUACCUCAAGCACUUGAAGAUGACUAUGGUGGAUGGCUAAGCGAAAAGAUUGUGUCAGUCUCUUUUCUCGUUUUCUUAGCUUAAUUUAUUAUAUUAUUUUGCUAAGAGAUGUGGUGCAUGCUCCACACCAAAUUACUUUUGCAGUUUAAUGAUGUUAUCUCCUUCAUAAUUGUAUAAUUAUCAUUGGAUAUAGGGAUGAUUUUACAGCAUAUGCAGAUGUAUGCUUUAAAGAAUUUGGCGACAGAGUCUCGCACUGGACUACUAUAAAUGAGCCCAAUUCGGUUGCCUUGGGUGGUUAUGACCUUGGAAGUCUUCCACCUCAGAGGUGUUCUUAUCCCUAUGGGGAAAAUUGCACGAAAGGCAACUCCUCUGUGGAGCCAUAUAUCUACACUCAUAAUAGCUUGCUGGCACAUGCUUCAGCUGUAAGAUUGUACCAGAAUAAGUACCAGGUAUUUAAUCAUUGUCUUCAUAAAAUUUGGUUAAUUGAUUGUGAACCAAUUUUGUAGAAGAAGACCUGUUAUUUUUUUGUUAUCUAUUCAUAACUUGAGAUUGAUGGAAAUGAUGUAGGCCAAACAAAAAGGAUUUAUCGGCUUGACCAUAUUUACUUACUGGUUGAUUCCAUUUUCCAACUCUGUGAAAGAUGCGAAAGCAACUCAACGAGCUUAUGAUCUUUUCAUGGGUUGGUAAGCCACUGUCUCCUAACAUCAGCAAAGCUAAAACUUCAAAUAAUAUUCUAAAAGUUCUAUAACAGGUUUAUCAAUCCACUGGUGUUUGGAGACUACCCUAAAACCCUGAAGAAGCAUGCUGGCUCGAAGAUCCCCACUUUUACCCCACAACAGUCAGAACUAGUAAAAGGCUCUUUUGACUUCUUAGGACUGAAUCACUAUCAGACAGUGCAAAUCACGGAUGAUUCAAACAGUCUCAAGCUCGAAGAGAGAGAUGCUUACAAAGACAUGGGAGUGAAGCGAAUAAGUAUGCGUCGUUAUUAAUUUUCUUGACAGUGAAUUUUAGUUGUCAGAAAUAUUUCUAUAUUUUAGUGGAAUAUCAUUGACCUCAUAUUCUGACGGAGCCAGUUUUUUCAGGGAAUCAAUAAAAUCUUCACACUAGACUAGUUCUUGUUGGUCUACACGGUUCUGGAAAUAUUGAAGUUCUUGCACCAUUAUUUUGUAGAAGCUUUGUGCAUGAUGUUCAUAACUCAUGACAGAACUAGAUAAAUGCAUGCUUAGAAAACUGUUAUUUUAGGAGGCACCAUUCUUUACAACUCACAAAUUUUCAUCUGUUGCAGAUAGUUGGAAUGGAGGGUCCUAUGAUGAGGUAAAAAUAUAAAAAUUUUCACAUAUCGCAUGUGUGUUUAUUUUAAAGUCAAUUCUUAUAUAUGACGUAAAUGGGUUGAUUCAGAUACAACUGGAUCCCUUGGGUCUGGAACUAGUGCUGGAGCAUCUCAAGCAAGUUUAUCACAACCCUCCUAUCUUUAUCCAUGAAAAUGGUAUUAAUUUUCUCCUAAUAUACUUCUUGUCGUAGGAAGAAUCUGCAUUGAAGUUAGUAUAGGUUCUCCAUCCAGAAAUAUCACCUCAGCUCAUACAAACAUUAUUGUCAUAUAUAAUUGGUUGAUGAUUACUACAACAAUAAGUAUACUUAAUAUUAACUUGGUAUGUGUUUCAAAACAUGGUGCCAGGUCAAAGAACAUUACAUAAUGCAUCAUUAUAUGACACAUCAAGGAUGAAUUAUUUGGCUGGUUUCAUCCGAAGUUUACUCAACGCAAUAAGGUAUUUUGGAAUUGGUUUAUUGCGAAAAACAUUUUUUAGUCUCGUAAACAUGUGUGGAUAUUUGAGUUUCGUUACAUAAAAACGUUCUACAAAGUCCUCAAUAACAUAUAUCUGACGAGGUCAAUGUUAUUGUUUUCAUUUUGAAGGAACGGAUCGGAUGUGAGAGGAUAUUUUUCAUGGUCCUUCUUAGAUCUAUUCGAACUGAUUGAAGGCAAAGAAGCAAGCUAUGGUCUGUAUUAUGUAGAUUUUAAUGACCCCGAUUUGAAGAGGCAACCUAAGCUCUCUGCACAUUGGUACUCUGGUUUUCUUAAGGG